AUUUGAUAAUAAUUUGUUUUAGAUCUUGAUUAGGAUUUGAUUUUGGAUUUGGUCUCGGAUUUGCUAAAGAUUUAGUUUAAAACUAGUCUAAGAUUUGUGUAGGAUUUAGGAUUUUAUUAGAAUUUCAUUAGGAUUUGAUCUAAGAUUUGGUUAAGGUUCAAUUAAGGUUUCAAUUAAGAUUUGACUAGGAUUAUUCUUAAGUUUUGUUUAAGAUUCAAUUAAGAUUCAAUUAAAAUUAUAUUAAUAUUUUGAUUUUUAAUAUUUUUUAGGAUUCUUUAUAUUU
rnacentral:lncRNA from 1 species